rnacentral:lncRNA from 1 species
CUCCAUUACGUGUCUUAUCCUCCCUCUCUCUUUUUAUACAGAUCGCUACAAAUAUAAUAAAUAUAUUUUUAAAAUUCAAAUUACAUAUAUUAUGUCUAUAAAAUUUUUAUAAUUUUUAGAUAUAUUCCUCUUGUCUGUUAUCGUUAAAAAUAAGUGAAAUGACUGUUUUACCAUCACAAAUACGUUACUCCAAAAAUCCCAUCUGUUAGCCAUCACAAGCCAUCAUAAAUACGUUACUAUAAAAAUCCCAACAGUUAACUGAAGUGGGAUAGAAGGGUUAAUUCAAGUCAUUAACUAAGUAGGAUUACCUAUUUUCUCUAUGAUUUACUAAUUUUUUCUAACGGAUAGUAACGGUUAGGAUAUAUUUAAAAAUAUUAGGAUUUUUACAGCAACAACAUAUAAUAGUUGAACUCUGUAGAGAUAUAUUUGCAAUUCACUAUUUUUACAGAAACCUAUAUGAAAUUAAUCCUUUUUUUUAUUUUUUUUUUCUUUAUCUAGGUUUUGAAAAUUUUCCUAGGACACACAACACACCACAAAAAAAAAAAAAAUAAAAUAAAAUAAAAUCCAACCUGAUAUGUGACCUGAUGACUAGAAUCAAUUUAGAUCAGCUUAAUUCAGCUCAAUUUACGACUGCAGUAAUCAGGAUCCUAAAUUAGACCCAAAGACUCAAAGUUGAUUUUUUGUGAAAAAAAAAGCUAAAUUACAGAAAAUUUCCUUAUCAAAAUUCGAUUUUUUAUUUUUCCUUCCUGUAAUUUAAAAACCUACACUUUGCCCUCCUAAAAAAUAAAAAAUGUUCUUAACGGGUACGAUGUUAAUAGUAUUGAUAAAAUGAUCAAAAUACCUUCUUCUUCUUCCUUUCCUACUCCAACCCUGCUUUAUCUGUAGAAGAAUAUUUUCGGUAUAAAAAAAUAUAUAAUAAUGGGAUAUAGACGGAAUCCUAACGGAACACUGCCGGUACGAUCCAAGGUUAAUAUUUUUUAUUGUUUAGGGGGACAAAAUAUAGAUUUUUACAUGAUAGAGAGAAAAAAUGAAAAAUCGGAUUUUAAUAAGAGGAUUUUCUGUAAUUUAGCCAAAAAAAAAUACCAAGCUAUCUAUUUUGUUUAUUUUUUAAAAAAACAUAAACUUAGCUUGAAGUAUAAAGUAAUUAAACAUCCAACUUUGAACUUCAUAUGUAAAUCGUCAAGUUCUUAAUUAGCUGCGCUAGAUAUACUCGGUGCAAACACUCAAAAUUGAUGACCAAUUUAUUGCACAGCUUGUAAUUUAUAUAUGAAAACUAUUGUAGAUUUUUUUGGUUUAAAAAUGGUGAUAUUGUUGUUGUCAAAUGUAAAGUUGAAAAAAAAAAAAAA